GACGAACCGUGCGAACGUUGUUCGGAUUCACUGGGCUUAAAGGGCGCGUAGGCGGGUGAUCAAGUCAGGGGUGAAAUCCUCCAGCUUAACUGGAGAACAGCCUCUGAUACUGGCCAUCUGGAGGAAGGUAGGGGCAUGUGGAACUAAUGGUGGAGCGGUGAAAUGCGUAGAUAUCAUUAGGAACGCCGGUGGCGAAAGCGACGUGCUGGACCUUUUCUGACGCUGAUGCGCGAAAGCCAGGGGAGCAAACGGG
rnacentral:rRNA from 1 species